rnacentral:rRNA from 1 species
AUCGGGGUUGCGGACAGUGCCUGGUGGGUAGUUUGACUGGGGCGGUCUCCUCCCAAAGAGUAACGGAGGAGCACGAAGGUGGGCUAAUCACGGUUGGACAUCGUGAGGUUAGUGCAAUGGCAUAAGCCCGCUUGACUGCGAGAAUGACAAUUCGAGCAGGUGCGAAAGCAGGUCAUAGUGAUCCGGUGGUUCUGAAUGGAAGGGCCAUCGCUCAACGGAUAAAAGGUACUCCGGGGAUAACAGGCUGAUACCGCCCAAGAGUUCAUAUCGACGGCGGUGUUUGGCACCUCGAUGUCGGCUCAUCACAUCCUGGGGCUGAAGUCGGUCCCAAGGGUAUGGCUGUUCGCCAUUUAAAGUGGUACGCGAGCUGGGUUUAGAACGUCGUGAGACAGUUCGGUCCCUAUCUGCCGUGGGCGUUGGAAGAUUGAAGGGGGCUGCUCCUAGUACGAGAGGACCGGAGUGGACGAACCUCUGGUGUUCGGGUUGUGUCGCCAGACGCAUUGCCCGGUAGCUAAGUUCGGAAUCGAUAACCGCUGAAAGCAUCUAAGCGGGAAGCGAGCCCUGAGAUGAGUCUUCCCUGAUACUUUAAGUAUCCUAAAGGGUUGUCGGAGACUACGACGUUGAUAGGUCAGGUGUGUAAGUGCUGUGAGGCAUUGAGCUAACUGAUACUAAUUGCCCGUGAGGCUUAACCAUA